GGAAUAGUCUCCUGAGAAGAGACUGGUCGCCACGGCAGCAUGCCAUAAUGGUCCCAGAACAUUUCAUCAUCUGUAUCCAACCGAGACAUUCAAGAAGAUGCCCCCAAUGUCCCAAGGGAGCUGCAUCAUCUCGAGCUGCAAUGAAACAGUGGACCCAAGUGAUGCAAGGCAGAAGCUGUAGGAGACUGGAGAGACAGUGCCUGGUACCACUCAGAAAGCUCCUUCUGUCAACCCCUGCUGUGCUGUCUGAACUGCAGAAGAGCCUUUUUUAGGCAUGCCUAUCCAAGGACUGCUGGAGGCAGGGGCAUAUUUACUGUAGAACCUCUUGGUGGAUGACCAAGUCUUUACUGUGCCUGCGUGGUGAUUUGGCUUCUCCUUCUUCCCAGUUCCACUUCCUUUAUGUCCUGUCUAUAGACACUGACCCUUAAUAAAUGUCCAGCACACCAGCCUUUACCCAGGUGUCUUCUGGAUAACCCAUCACAGCCACAACCCCUGAGGUUAUUGGUGUUGUUGAGCAAACCAAAAGUGGCUCUGCUGGUGUGGAUCCUGACUUCACCAAUUGCACCUCCACCUUACACUGUAAACUCCUGUUGAAGUGGCUGUGUAUACAGGAAAGGAUGUGAAUGCCCAGAAUGAUCAAACUCUUGCUGUGUUUUUAUAGACCACAAAGCAGAUGAACAGGAUUAAACAUUGGGUUGGUAGAA